rnacentral:rRNA from 1 species
AGAGCGAACGCUGGCGGCAGGCCUAACACAUGCAAGUCGAGCGCCCGUAGCAAUACGGGAGCGGCAGACGGGAUAGUAACACGUGGGAACGCGCCCUUCGGUUCGGAAUAACUCAGGGAAACUUGAGCUAAUACCGAAUACGCCCUUACGGGGAAAGAUUUAUUGCCGAAGGAACGGCCCGCGUCCGAUUAGCUAGUUGGUGAGGUAAUGGCUCACCAAGGCUACGAUCGGUAGCUGGUCUGAGAGGAUGACCAGCAUCACUGGGACUGAGACACGGCCCAGACUCCUACGGGAGGCAGCAGUGGGGAAUAUUGGACAAUGGGCGCAAGCCUGAUCCAGCCAUGCCGCGUGGAUGAUGAAGGCCUUAGGGUUGUAAAGUCCUUUUAACGGGGAAGAUAAUGACGGUACCCGUAGAGUAAGCCCGGCUAACUUCGUGCCAGCAGCCGC